ACGUAACUCAAAAGUUAUUUCGAUUUAUUUACCAAUUGAACUUUUUUAUGAUUAUAUCUUAAUUGUCAUAUAGACUUUAACAGUAAGUGAUAAAAAGAGCUUGAAGAUGAUUCUCAACGUUCCAGGUCUCCUCUCAUAUCGCAAGGAGAGGAAACAGCUUUCUGUUAAUGAGGGACUGGAAUGGAGAGCAGUAACUGACGAUAAAGAGAUGAUUCUGAUCCAACAGAAAUUUAAAAAACAGCAAAAGAUAAUUUUGAAUCAAGGACGUCUUAUUCAAGUAAUAGGCAACAGAAACAA